UUCUGACUUGAUCUCCUUCCCUGCCUUUCUCUGUUAGAGGGGUGCUAGCAUGUUUAGCCCUUGCUGGUCUUUCACCUGAGGGUACAGCUGAGUAGUUCACACAGCAUGGCCUCCCUCACAGCCACAGCUCUUCAGUGGUGCCUUAAAGUCCUUAGCAAGCCAUGAGGCACCUUCUGUUCAAAGAUGAGUUGUAUUCAAUGCUGCAAAAGAGCAUGACACCCGCUCAGGUGCUGUUCCAGGGAUAGAGGACCCAGUCCUUAACCUCCGCUGUCAGGAGAUGCAGAGGGGAUGUGUAGCCAGAAGGUGGCAGGCAAGGCUGGAGUGAUUCAGUGGGCUGGCCCAGCGAGUUUAGUCCUGCAGCCCAGGAAGGGGCUGUGCUAGGUAAGUGAAGACUGGAAGCCUUUGGCACAAACUCUCUGUCUUCUCCACAGAAAUGAUGAUGCACGUGCAACAGCUGUCUCUUGCGUCUUUAUGUGUGAAAAAACAACAGCCAAAGAAGCCAGAGGGAACAUGUCCAGCAGCAGAGUCAAGAACACGGAAAGUGGCCAGACUGAAGGCCCCGUUCCUCAAAAUCGAAGAUGAAAGCAGGAAGUUUCGUCCUUUCCAUCAUCAGUUUAAAUCCUUUCCUGAAAUUUCUUUUCUUGGACCCAAAGAUGCAAGUCCCUUUGAGGCCCCGACGACCCUGGGCAGCAUUCACCAUACCAGAGAAUCCAAGGAUGGAGAGCCAAGCCCACGAUCAGCUGCCCGCACCAUGCCCAGGAGGAAGAAAGGCUACUGCGAGUGCUGUCAGGAGGCCUUCGAGGAGCUCCAUGUGCAUCUUCAGAGUGCCCAGCACCGGAGCUUUGCCCUGGAAGCCCAUCUAUAUGCAGAAGUGGACAGGAUCAUUGCUCAGCUCAGCCACAGCUUUGCAGACAUCCCUUUCCAGGCUGGCCUCCCCAGGUGGUCAGGUUCCCCAGCUUCUGAUUGUGACCCUCUCUGUCCUGAGACUCUGCACCCCCAUCAGCCCUCCCAUCCCAGGGCAGCAUCUCCCAGGAUAAGGAAAGAAGACAGCUGCCAGGCAUCAGGUAUCCCAGAGCAGGAUGGGACAGUGGACAGCACGCAGGCACCAGCUGAACGUGCAGGGACUGGUGAGGUACCUGGACCUAUAGCAAGCUGCCAGGACCUGGGGGUGUCAGUUGAUGUGUUUGUGGACCCCCCAGGGAUACCAGUGUCCAGGAGCCCUGCUUGCCAAUGCCUCCUGCCUAGCUCUGGUUUUAUGGAACUCUCCUCUGGCCCAGACCUGGCACUUUUUGGCCACAAGCGGAAGGUUCAGUUCCCCAGUGGCAGUGCUGAGAAGAGAGUGGGGGCCUCCUGGCCACCGGCUUCAUUUUUUGUCCCAAUAGCCCCCAACCCCUGCGGCACCAGGACAACUAAUGGCAAGCGUCUUCCCUCUCUUCCCCUUACAGGCCAUGAGUCCAGGCUCCUCGCCUCCCUCCAGCCCUUGUGCCACUCACAGACCUGCCUCUCUCUCCCAGACCCCUUCCCCUGGCAGCCCACAGACAGACCAGCAGAGUUCUGGGCCACACAGCCCUCCUGGCUGGGGAAAGGGUGGCCCCCAGGGCCUGAGGAUUCUGAGUGUACAGCCACUGGCCCUGUAUCCCAGGAGGCUGGCCAGCUCCCCAGCUGCCCCACAGCUCCAGGCUGGCCAUCAGCUCCCCUGUACUCAGCUACCAGUGUGCAGCCCUCGGGAGCACCUGUAGAGAGCAGGUCUACCUCCCUCCUGCAGCCCCUGCCAGCCAGUGCGGGAGCCAGCUGUUCCCGAUGCCUCUGGGCCCCCCAGCCUCUCCAGGUGCCCUGUCUCCCUGUCUCCCAGCCCUGGUCCCAACCCCAGCCCCAGCCCCAGCCCCAUGCUGGCAGAGAGCUGCUCCUAUGAGUCCCCAAGGUGCUUGGCUCUUCACAGGGCCAGGCAGCUCCAGAUUGAAGGGCCACAGAUACAACUUACUCCUCUGCUGGGUGCUG
rnacentral:sRNA from 1 species